GACGAACGCUGGCGGCGUGCCUAACACAUGCAAGUCGAACGGAAAGGCCCUGCUUUUGUGGGGUGCUCGAGUGGCGAACGGGUGAGUAACACGUGAGUAACCUGCCCUUGACUUUGGGAUAACUUCAGGGAACUGGGGCUAAUAUCGGAUAGGAGCUCUUGCUGCAUGGUGGGGGUUGGUAAGAUUCGGCGGUUGGGGAUGGACUCGCGGCUUAUCAGCUUGUUGGUGGGGUAGUGGCUUACCAAGGCUUUGACGGGUAGCCGGCCUGAGAGGGUGACCGGCCACAUUGGGACUGAGAUACGGCCCAGACUGCUACGGGAGGCAGCAGUGGGGAAUAUUGCACAAUGGGCGGAGGCCUGAUGCAGCAACGCCGCGUGCGGGAUGACGGCCUUCGGGUUGUAAACCGCUUUCGCCUGUGACGAAGCGUGAGUGACGGUAAUGGGUAAAGAAGCACCGGCUAACUACGUG
rnacentral:rRNA from 1 species